rnacentral:rRNA from 1 species
GUGGGGAAUCUUGCGCAAUGGGCGAAAGCCUGACGCAGCGACGCCGCGUGGGUGAUGAAGGCCUUCGGGUUGUAAAGCCCUGUGGAGGGGGACGAAUAAGGGUUGGCGAAUAUCCAGCCUGAUGACGGUACCCUUUUAGCAAGCACCGGCUAACUCUGUGCCAGCAGCCGCGGUAAGACAGAGGGUGCAAACGUUGUUCGGAAUUACUGGGCGUAAAGCGCGUGUAGGCGGCUUGGCAAGUCGGGUGUGAAAGCCCUGGGCUCAACCUAGGAAGUGCACUCGAAACUGCCUCGCUUGAGGGUCGGAGAGGAAAGCGGAAUUCUCGGUGUAGAGGUGAAAUUCGUAGAUAUCGAGAGGAACAUCGGUGGCGAAGGCGGCUUUCUGGACGAUUUCUGACGCUGAGACGCGAAAGCGUGGGGAGCAAACAGGAUUAGAAACCCGAGUAGUCC